rnacentral:misc_RNA from 1 species
UUUCCGUAGGUGAACCUGCGGAAGGAUCAUUAAAGUUAUAGUCCCCCGGCCCUCUAGGCUGGGGUCUUCUAUACCACCCUUUGUUUAUUACACCUUUGUUGCUUUGGCAGGCCUGCCCUCGGGCUGCUGGCUCCGGCCGGCUCGCGUCUGCCAGAGGAUCUAAACUCUGUUUGUAUAUGAAGUCUGAGUACUAUAUAAUAGUUAAAACUUUCAACAACGGAUCUCUUGGUUCUG